UACGGAGGGUGCAAGCGUUGUCCGGAAUCACUGGGCGUAAAGGGCGCGUAGGCGGCUCAUUAAGUCUGUGGUGAAAGUCCGGGGCUCAACCUCGGAUCGGCCGUGGCGACUCGUGGGCUGGAGCACUGUAGAGGCGGGUGGAAUUCCGGGUGUAGCGGUGGAAUGCGUAGAGAUCCGGAAGAACACCAGUGGCGAAGGCGGCCCGCUGGGCAGUGGCUGACGCUGAGGCGCGAAAGCGUGGGGAGCAAACAGG
rnacentral:rRNA from 1 species